UAUUGCACAAUGGGGGAAAGCCUGACGCAGCGACGCCGCGUGAGGGAUGAAGGUCUUCGGAUCGUAAACCUCUGUCAGGAGGGAAGAAGUGGUUAUAUGCGAAUAGUGUAUGACUUUGACGGUACCUCCAAAGGAAGCACCGGCGAACUCCGUGCCAGCAGCCGCGGUAAUACGGAGGGUGCGAGCGUUAAUCGGAAUCACUGGGCGUAAAGCGCGCGUAGGCGGCUUUUCAAGUCAGGGGUGAAAUCCCACGGCCCAACCGUGGAACUGCCUUUGAAACUGUAGAGCUUGAGUGUCGGAGAGGGUGGCGGAAUUCCAGGUGUAGGAGUGAAAUCCGUAGAUAUCAGGAGGAACACCAGUGGCGAAGGCGGCUUGCUGGACGAUGACUGACGUUGAGGCUCGAAAGCGUGGGGAGCAAACAGG
rnacentral:rRNA from 1 species